rnacentral:rRNA from 1 species
UUAAGUUAUUAAGGGCGCACGGUGGAUGCCUUGGCACUAGAAGCCGAUGAAGGACGUUACUAACGACGAUAUGCUUUGGGGAGCUGUAAGUAAGCUUUGAUCCAGAGAUUUCCGAAUGGGGAAACCCAGCAUGAGUUAUGUCAUGUUAUCGAUAUGUGAAUACAUAGCAUAUCAGAAGGCACACCCGGAGAACUGAAACAUCUUAGUACCCGGAGGAAGAGAAAGAAAAUUCGAUUCCCUUAGUAGCGGCGAGCGAAAUGGGAAGAGCCCAAACCAACAAGCUUGCUUGUUGGGGUUGUAGGACACUCUAUACGGAGUUACAAAGGACGACAUUAGACGAAUCAUCUGGAAAGAUGAAUCAAAGAAGGUAAUAAUCCUGUAGUCGAAAAUGUUGUCUCUCUUGAGUGGAUCCUGAGUACGACGGAACACGUGAAAUUCCGUCGGAAUCUGGGAGGACCAUCUCCUAAGGCUAAAUACUCUCUAGUGACCGAUAGUGAACCAGUACCGUGAGGGAAAGGUGAAAAGCACCCCGGAAGGGGAGUGAAAUAGAACCUGAAACCGUGUGCUUACAAGUAGUCAGAGCCCGUUAAUGGGUGAUGGCGUGCCUUUUGUAGAAUGAACCGGCGAGUUACGAUUUGAUGCAAGGUUAAGCAGUAAAUGUGGAGCCGUAGCGAAAGCGAGUCUGAAUAGGGCGUUUAGUAUUUGGUCGUAGACCCGAAACCAGGUGAUCUACCCUUGGUCAGGUUGAAGUUCAGGUAACACUGAAUGGAGGACCGAACCGACUUACGUUGAAAAGUGAGCGGAUGAACUGAGGGUAGCGGAGAAAUUCCAAUCGAACCUGGAGAUAGCUGGUUCUCUCCGAAAUAGCUUUAGGGCUAGCCUCAAGUGAUGAUUAUUGGAGGUAGAGCACUGUUUGGACGAGGGGCCCCUCUCGGGUUACCGAAUUCAGACAAACUCCGAAUGCCAAUUAAUUUAACUUGGGAGUCAGAACAUGGGUGAUAAGGUCCGUGUUCGAAAGGGAAACAGCCCAGACCACCAGCUAAGGUCCCAAAAUAUAUGUUAAGUGGAAAAGGAUGUGGCGUUGCCCAGACAACUAGGAUGUUGGCUUAGAAGCAGCCAUCAUUUAAAGAGUGCGUAAUAGCUCACUAGUCGAGUGACACUGCGCCGAAAAUGUACCGGGGCUAAACAUAUUACCGAAGCUGUGGAUUGUCCUUUGGACAAUGGUAGGAGAGCGUUCUAAGGGCGUUGAAGCAUGAUCGUAAGGACAUGUGGAGCGCUUAGAAGUGAGAAUGCCGGUGUGAGUAGCGAAAGACGGGUGAGAAUCCCGUCCACCGAUUGACUAAGGUUUCCAGAGGAAGGCUCGUCCGCUCUGGGUUAGUCGGGUCCUAAGCUGAGGCCGACAGGCGUAGGCGAUGGAUAACAGGUUGAUAUUCCUGUACCACCUAUAAUCGUUUUAAUCGAUGGGGGGACGCAGUAGGAUAGGCGAAGCGUGCGAUUGGAUUGCACGUCUAAGCAGUAAGGCUGAGUAUUAGGCAAAUCCGGUACUCGUUAAGGCUGAGCUGUGAUGGGGAGAAGACAUUGAGUCUUCGAGUCGUUGAUUUCACACUGCCGAGAAAAGCCUCUAGAUAGAAAAUAGGUGCCCGUACCGCAAACCGACACAGGUAGUCAAGAUGAGAA